CAUUGAUACCUGCUUGUCAGUGCCCAAUCUCACCUGAUCUCAGAAGCUAAACAGGGUUGAGCCUGGUUAGUACUUGGAAGGGACACCAAUGGGAUUACCAGGUGCCUCAGUGG
rnacentral:rRNA from 1 species